rnacentral:tRNA from 1 species
AAGCCCCGGAGCCCUCUUGGGCUCGUCUUCAAACUUGCAUUUUGACGUGAUCUCACCACGAGGCU